rnacentral:rRNA from 1 species
CUUGGUCAUUUAGAGGAAGUAAAAGUCGAACAAGGUUUCCGUAGGUGAACCUGCGGAAGGAUCAUUAGUGAAUCUUCAAAGUCGGCUCGUCGGAUUGUGCCGGUGGAGACACAUGUGCACGUCUUGGAGUCGCAAACCCACACACCUGUGCAUCUAUGACUCUGAGUGCCGCUUUCAUGGCCUUGAUUGGCCUGGCGCUCGAGUACUUUUCACACACUCUCGAAGUAAUGGAACGUCUUGUCGUGCGUAAUGUACAAAUCGAAACAACUUUCACAACGGAUCUCUUGGCUCUCGCAUCGAUGAAGAACGCAGCGAAAUGCGAAAGUAAUGUGAAUUGCAGAAUUCAGUGAAUCAUCGAAUCUUUGAACGCACUUGCACCCUUUGGUAUUCCGAAGGGUACACCCGUUUGAGUGUCAUUGUAUCUCACUACGAUCGACUUUAUGUCUUUCUGUAUGUGGACUUGGAUGUUCCGUGGAUUUCUAUGGCUCGUCCGAAAUGCUUCAGUGUACCCCGCAAAGGGCGUAUUCGGUGUGAUACAUCUUCACCGGAGUUGAUCCUUCACGGGUCCGUCUGUAAUGUGUGGCUCUAUGCUUCAAACCGUCUUGACAGGACAAUCUUGACAAUUCGACCUCAAAUCGGGUGGGACUACCCGCCGAACUUAAGCAAUCAAUAAGCGGAGGA